rnacentral:tRNA from 1 species
GAAGGUGUAGCUCAGUGGUAGAGUGUGUGCUUAGCAUACAUGAAGUCCUGGGUUCAAUCCUCAGCAUUGCCU